AACGAACGCUGGCGGCAUGCCUAACACAUGCAAGUCGAACGAGACCUUCGGGUCUAGUGGCGCACGGGUGCGUAACGCGUGGGAACCUGCCCUUAGGUUCGGAAUAACUCCCCGAAAGGGGUGCUAAUACCGGAUAAUGUCUUCGGACCAAAGAUUUAUCGCCUUUGGAUGGGCCCGCGUUGGAUUAGCUAGUUGGUAGGGUAAAAGCCUACCAAGGCGACGAUCCAUAGCUGGUCUGAGAGGAUGAUCAGCCACACUGGGACUGAGACACGGCCCAGACUCCUACGGGAGGCAGCAGUGGGGAAUAUUGGACAAUGGGCGAAAGCCUGAUCCAGCAAUGCCGCGUGAGUGAUGAAGGCCUUAGGGUUGUAAAGCUCUUUUACCCGGGAUGAUAAUGACAGUACCGGGAGAAUAAGCUCCGGCUAACUCCGUGCCAGC
rnacentral:rRNA from 1 species